rnacentral:rRNA from 1 species
AACGUAGGAGACAAACGUUAUCCGGAGUUACUGGGCGUAAAGGGCGUGUAGGUGGUUGCGUAAGUCUGGCGUGAAAUUUUCGGCUUAACCGGGAAAGGUCGUCGGAUACUGCGUAGCUAGAGGACGGUAGAGGCGUGUGGAAUUCCGGGUGUAGUGGUGAAAUGCGUAGAGAUCCGGAGGAACACCAGUGGCGAAGGCGACAC